rnacentral:rRNA from 1 species
AGAGUUUGAUCCUGGCUCAGAUUGAACGCUGGCGGCAUGCCUAACACAUGCAAGUCGAACGGCAGCACAGCAGAGCUUGCUCUGUGGGUGGCGAGUGGCGGACGGGUGAGUAAUGCAUCGGGACCUACCUCAACGUGGGGGAUAACGUAGGGAAACUUACGCUAAUACCGCAUACGUCCUACGGGAGAAAGCAGGGGACCUUCGGGCCUUGCGCGGUGAGACGGACCGAUGUUCGAUUAGCUAGUUGGUGAGGUAAUGGCUCACCAAGGCGACGAUCGAUAGCUGGUCUGAGAGGAUGAUCAGCCACACUGGAACUGAGACACGGUCCAGACUCCUACGGGAGGCAGCAGUGGGGAAUAUUGGACAAUGGGCGCAAGCCUGAUCCAGCAAUGCCGCGUGUGUGAAGAAGGCCUUCGGGUUGUAAAGCACUUUUAUCGGGAGCGAAAUACCAUUGGCUAAUAACCAGUGGGGCUGACGGUACCCGAGGAAUAAGCACCGGCUAACUUCGUGCCAGCAGCCGCGGUAAUACGAAGGGUGCAAGCGUUAAUCGGAAUUACUGGGCGUAAAGGGUGCGUAGGCGGUUUGUUAAGUCUGUCGUGAAAUCCCCGGGCUCAACCUGGGAAUGGCGAUGGAUACUGGCAAGCUAGAGUGUGUCAGAGGAUGGUGGAAUUUCCGGUGUAGCGGUGAAAUGCGUAGAUAUCGGAAGGAACACCUGUGGCGAAAGCGGCUCACUGGACCAUUACUGACACUGAGGCACGAAAGCUAGGGGAGUAAACAGGAUUAGAUACCCUGGUAGUCC